rnacentral:rRNA from 1 species
UACGUAGGGUGCGAGCGUUAAUCGGAAUUACUGGGCGUAAAGCGUGCGCAGGCGGUUCGUGAUGUCUGGUGUGAAAGCCCCGGGCUUAACCUGGGAAUUGCAUUGGAAACUAGCGGGCUGGAGUGUGGCAGAGGGGGGUGGAAUUCCACGUGUAGCAGUGAAAUGCGUAGAGAUGCGGAGGAACACCGAUGGCGAAGGCAGCCCCCUGGGCUAACACUGACGCUCAUGCACGAAAGCGUGGGGAGCAAACAGG